rnacentral:rRNA from 11 species
UAUUAUAAAAUUCUGCCCUAAAGACACUGGAAUCUGUUUGAUCUUGGAAGCUAAGCAGGGUCAAUCCAGGUUAUUAGUUGGGUAGGAGGCUGCUGGGAAAUUCCAGAUGCUGUAGGAU